GGCGCUUUGGCUUAGUUGUCAAGGCGUCAGACUUUCGUCCCGAAGGUCCCGGGUUCAAUUCCACGGAUGCGCUA